rnacentral:rRNA from 1 species
AUUGAACGCUGGCGGCAGGCCUAACACAUGCAAGUCGAGCGGAGCGGCGGACGGGUGAGUAAUGCCUAGGAAUCUGCCUGGUAGUGGGGGAUAACGUCCGGAAACGGGCGCUAAUACCGCAUACUAUCAGAUGAGCCUCGGGCGGAUUAGCUAGUUGGUGGGGUAAUGGCCUACCAAGGCGACGAUCCGUACCUGGUCUGAGAGGUUGAUCAGUCACACUGGAACUGAGACACGGUCCAGACUCCUACGGGAGGCAGCAGUGGGGAAUAUUGGACAAUGGGCGCAAGCCUGAUGCAGCCAUGCCGCGUGUAUGAAGAAGGCCUUCGGGUUGUAAAGUACUUUCAGCGGGGAGGCGUUACCCGCAGAGGAAGCACCGGCUAACUCCGUGCCAGCAGCCGCGGUAAUAC